rnacentral:lncRNA from 1 species
UGAUCUCUUUCGCUGUAUGUCGUGCUCGUUUGGGUUGGGCGUCGGCUAAGAGUGCUUGGAGCGUGGAUUAACUCCAGUCUCCUAUCAGGUGUGUAUUUCUCACUACUCUAGCUGUAGGAUGGCUACUUCGGGCAGCGAUGGGUCGAAAGGGGCUAUGUGGGCCCAAUGGGCCUACGGGUCAAAUUGGAUAAGUUGUUUGAUUGUGUAGUAAAUAUUGGACUAGGCUAGGUGAAUCUCAUAUUUGUGGCUAGAUUUGGGCUAAAGGGGCCACACGAGCGUGUGGGCCCAUUUGGGUUGAGAAUGGGCUUUAGGGCCAUUCGUACUAUUAUCCCUGUAGAAUACUUUAGUUUACCAAAUUACAGAAAUGCCCUCGACUUGUAAAAUUACCAAAGUACCCUCGAUUUAUAGAAUUACUGUUUUACCCUUGAUUUAUAGAAUUACCAUUUUACCCUAGAUUUAUAGAAUUACCGUUUUACCCUCAAUUACAGAAUUAUCAUUUUACCCUUGAUUUACAGAAUUACCGUUUUACCCUCGAUUUAUAGAAUUACCAUUUUACUCUCGAUUUAUAGAAUUACCGUUUUACCCUCGAUUUAUAGAAUUACCAUUUUACCUUCGAUUUACAGAAUUACUGUUUUACCCUCAAUUUAUAAAAUUACUAAAAUACCAUUAGUUUACAAAAUUACCAAAAUACCCUCGAUCAGUAAAUUACCAAAAUAACCCUGGUUUGUAAAAUUACUACAAUACCCUUGGUUUGUAAAAUUACCAAAAUACCCCUGAUUUGUGAAAUUAUCGAAAUACUAUCGAUUUGUAAAAUAUUGAAAUACCCUUGUAGGGUAGAAUUACUGAAAUAACCCUAUAGGGUAGAAUUACCGAGAUACCCCUAUAGGGUAAAAUUACUGAAAUACCCCUACAGGGUAGAAUUACCAAAAUACCCUUGUAGGGUAGAAAUACUAAAAUACCCCUGUAGGGUAGAAUUACCGAGAUACCCUUGUGGGGUAAAAUUACCAUUUUGCCCCUAGGGUGUUAAAUGACUGUUUUGCCCUUGUGGGCAAGUGACUGACUUGGACUGUGUGGUUGACGGAUUUGAUUGUGAAUAUAUGUUGGUGAUAUGAAUGACUUGACUGUGAUUGUUUGAUUCAAAUAUGUGCAUGACAUUCUGCAUACAUGACAUGUUGCAUGGGUUGGGUUUUAUAAAUGGAGGAAGUGCUAAAAGGGCAAUGCCCCAGUUUAACGAAAAAGGCUUUGCCCUAGUUUACCGAAAAGGGCUUUGCCCCAGUUUAUAAAAAAGGGCUUUGCCCCAGUUUUUAAAAGAGGCUAGGCUUCUAGUUAUAUGAUAAAGCAGCUAUGCUACCAGUGGAGAGUUUGGUUGGGUGGGUUGAGUUAUUCCCCACAUGGAGAGCUUGUUUGGUACGGGUGGAGAGUAGCAGAUGGUGGGUUGAGUAGUCUCCCCAGAUGGGCUUGCAUACAUCCAUUGGUAUUACAUGUGAUAUUGAAAUGGGCCUAUGGGCCAUACCGCUUACAGUAAAGGCAUCGGCCAGUGGUAUGAUUUAUGAAAAGGCUUCGGCCAGUGAUAUGAUUUAUGAAAAGGCUUCGGCCCAGUAUAUGUCGAGACUAAAUUAGGGCUUAGGCCCAUAUUGCUACUAUUUAAAGGCUAAGGCCCAAACUGUACCGUUACUGAAUAGGGCUUUGGCCCAGAUUGUACUGACACUGUGUUAUUCACUGUUUGUUUGUUGUUGGGGAUUACACACUAAGUUUUCGUAAACUCACCCUGUUUCUAACUGUGCAGGUAAUCCCUAAGCUUAGAUGGUUUGGAGCUGCGAGGGACUCAGAGAUGGCCACACUACUGUUUCUCUUUCUUUUAAUUGUAGUAAGUAACCAGUUUAUUUUAUUUUAUUUUAUAAGUUUUAUCUUAAGUAAUAUUAUUAUUUGGUUUUGGGUUGUAAUAAGGCCAUUUUAAUUAUUUUUUUGGGAUUAUUUUAUUUUAUACCUUAUAUUUUACUGAUAAC